AAGGCAGCGUCUGGGGCGUCUCCACCAUGGCCUGGGCUCUGCUCCUUGUCACCCUCCUCACUCAGGACACAGGAUCCUGGGCCCAGUCUGGCCUGACUCAGCCUCCCUCAGUGUCCGGGAAUCUGGGACAGACGGUCACCAUCUCUUGUGCUGGAACCAGCAGUGACAUAGGGAAAUAUAACUAUGUCGGCUGGUACCAACAGCUCCCAGGCACGGCCCCCAAAACCCUGAUUUAUGAUGUCAAUAAACGGCCCUCAGGGAUCCCUGAUCGCUUCUCUGGCUCCAAGUCUGGCAACACGGCCUCCCUGACCAUCUCUGGGCUCCAGGCUGAGGACGAGGCCGAUUAUUACUGUAGCUCAGCUAGAAGUGGUAACACUGUGCACAGUGGUCCAAGUUCAUUGGGAAAGACCUUGGAGAUAGACAUCCAGCAGAGGGCGCUGCAGAAUGUCCCCUGCACUGUGGUUCCCAGAGACACAGUCCUGUCCCAGCAGAGACCCUGA